rnacentral:misc_RNA from 1 species
UUUUAAUUUUUUUUUUAAUUUAAAAAAGUUCUUUAAAUUUAAAAACAAAUAAAUCUUUUAAAUUUUUUUAAAAAAUUAAAUAAGCUAUUUUACUAUUUUAUGCUUAAAUAAUCUCUUUUAACUUUUAAAAAUAUAUCAAAAUAAAUUAUGUUAUAUCUUUUAAAAAAUAAAUCAAAAGAAAGGUUACUGUAGCAAAAAUUG